UACGUAGGGUGCGAGCGUUGUCCGGAAUUACUGGGCGUAAAGAGCUCGUAGGUGGUUUGUCGCGUUGUUCGUGAAAACUCACAGCUCAACUGUGGGCGUGCGGGCGAUACGGGCAGACUGGAGUACUGCAGGGGAGACUGGAAUUCCUGGUGUAGCGGUGGAAUGCGCAGAUAUCAGGAGGAACACCGGUGGCGAAGGCGGGUCUCUGGGCAGUUCCUGACACUGAGGCACGAAGGCCAGGGGAGCAAACGGG
rnacentral:rRNA from 1 species